rnacentral:rRNA from 1 species
CCAAGGAGUCUAACAUGUGCGCGAGUCAUUGGGACUUGUUUAAGCCUAAAGGCGCAAUGAAAGUGAAGGUCCGCCCUAGCGCGGACCGAGGGAGGAUGGUCAGUUUCUUUUCGGAGAGCUGGCUCGCACUCCCGGGGCGUCUCGUGCUCAUUACGAGCAGAGGCGCACCUAGAGCGUACACGUUGGGACCCGAAAGAUGGUGAACUAUGCCUGGUCAGGACGAAGUCAGGGGAAACCCUGAUGGAGGUCCGUAGCGAUUCUGACGUGCAAAUCGAUCGUCGGAACUGGGUAUAGGGGCGAAAGACUAAUCGAACCAUC